GCAACCGAGUCGGUGCACUUGGUGCAGACGUGAAGCGGCUUAAUCAGAUGUGUGUGUUCAGAGAAGCAGAAAUAGAUUUUAACUUUUAAAACGCAUAAGUACAAAUUAAAAUCACAUUACAAAAAUGCAGAGAGAGAAAUAUUUGCCAGAGCUGAUGGCAGAGAAAGACACUCUGGAUCCGUCUUUUGUUCACGCUACGCGUCUGCUGUCGGAAGAAAUUGAACAAUUCCAGGAUAGCGACACAAAGAAGGAAGAAGAGAAGCAAUACCUUGAUAUUAUCAGCAACAAAAACAUUAAACUUGCUGAGCGAGUGCUGAUCCCAGUAAAACAAUAUCCAAAGUUCAAUUUUGUGGGGAAGUUGCUGGGACCUCGAGGCAAUUCACUGAAGAGGCUACAGGAAGAAACAGGAGCAAAAAUGUCCAUCCUGGGCAAAGGAUCAAUGAGGGAUAAAGCCAAGGAAGAAGAACUGAGAAAAAGUGGAGAGGCCAAGUAUGCACAUUUAGGCGAUGACCUCCACGUGCUGAUUGAAGUCUUUGUCCCAGCUGGAGAGGCAUAUUCACGCAUGAGCCACGCCCUGGAGGAGGUGAAGAAGUUCCUGGUUCCAGAUUAUAAUGAUGAAAUCCGCCAGGAGCAGUUGAGGGAACUCUCAUACCUAAAUGGUUCAGAAGAUUCGAGUCGAGGGCGGGGAGCUCGUGGGCGAGGACUUCGAGCACCCCUCACACCCACUGUGAGGGGACGUGCCAGUGCACUUCUUCCAGGACGGGGAAUUCCGGUUCCUAGAGCUACACCCGCAGCGCGCGGGGCUCCCCUACCUCCCCACGCAGGCAGGAGCACUGUAGCACCCCGAGGGAGGGGAGGACCAGGGGCUGUGGGCUAUCGACCUCCACCUCCACCAGAAGAGGAUGCCUAUGACGAAUACGGAUAUGACGAUGGCUAUGGAGGUGAUUAUGAUGACCAGAGCUAUGAUACGUAUGACAAUAGUUAUGCAAGUCAAGUAGAGAGUGGCCCUGAAUAUUACGACUAUGGACAUGGAACAAGUGAAGAAACCUACAACAGUUAUGGUAAAGAAGAAUGGGUGACUUCCCGACCGAGUCUGAAAGCACCGAUCCCAAGGUCAAGAGGGACAUACAGAGAACAUCCCUAUGGUGUCCAGUAGUAGGUUAACCAUGAAAAAUCAGGACACGCUUUAAGGUUCAGGCCAUUGCCUGUCUGAUUGCUUCCAGUCUGAUCCUUGAUAUGGUCCAGGGAUAUUUGCAGGGAGCCAUGAUUGAUAUGUGGAGGUGGGAAAUCCUGGGAAUAAGGGGAAAACAAACCUGUGGUUCUUCACCAUUCGGCCAGUGGAAGAAAGAUCCUGCUGGAUGAGAGAAGGAAACUGGACAGGCAGAUUGACAACAACUUGCACUGAUAACAACAUUUUCCAGAAUCUGCGGUAUGAUGGUGUAUCUGUUAGCCUAAUGCUUUACAGUGUCAACGAUCAGAAAAUCACAGUUCAGUUCGCGCCACCAUCUGUAAGGAGUUGUACCUUUUCCCUGUGAUGGAGUUUCCUCUAGGUGCUCCAGUUUCCUCCCAUAUUCCAAAGACAAGGUUAAGGGUUCUUUUGAAGACCUUACCUGGAGCUACACGCUGAAUUCGGUUCUUUGCGAGAACUCUCGGGGUUUCAGGACCGGCUGUGGUUCAGCAUGCCAAGGGUUGGGCCUGUGAGUCCAGCUCAAAUUCGGAAGUCUAAGAUCUCAGGGCUCUGGAGAAAGGUGGAUCGAGGAUCAGCGUCAUGGCAGGAGACCCGUGUGUCGUCAGGGGAGUCGGGAUAUCUGCUAUGGGCCCGAAGACCCGGAAUCUUUGCGAUCAUCAGGCACGGAGCUCAAAAAAAGCGACAUAACAGAUAUUUAAAGUCGUAAACCAGCGAGUUGCUUGUUAUGUCUCCCCACUCGCUGGGGAUAAAACGGAGACACCUCCUUCUCCCUAAAUAAGGAGAGAGCCUGUGGAAUGUCGAAUGCCGGGUGUAAUGCAGAGUCUUCUGCGAACUGCAAGUCUGUGUCUUUGCUAUUGCUUUGCUUAUGCUGAGUGCUCAGUGGCAGGACCGAUGCUUCCCUUUUCUUUGCCGGUGAGGGGAGGGGUAUCGUUGCUCACUGCUGCUUAGGCACAGGAGGGAGGGGAGCUGGGGGGGACCUUGGGGUUCUUACAUCUAUCUGUUGUUUAUUCUUUGGGGCACUCCUCUGUUUUUGUCGAUGUUUGCGAAGAAAAAGCAUUUCUGCAUGUGUACAUUUCUCUGACGUUAAAUUGGACCUCUGAACCUUUGAACACUCAAGAUGCUGGAGGAACUCAGCAGGCCAGGCAGCGUCUAUGAAAAAGAGUACAGUCGAUGUGUCAGACCUGCCGAAGGAUUUCGACUGUACUCUUUUCCAUAGAUGCUAUCUGGCCUUCUGAGUUCCUCCAGCAUCUUGUGUGUGUUACUUGUUUACAAUUCCCUAACUGGACACUUGCCUGAUCAUUGCCCAUCUCUUUAACUAAUCUGCCCUCACCCCCAUCGCCAAAGCUGAGCUUGGUACUGACCAGCACCCUUGGAAAGGUGAAGGUGUCCCUUGGUGAGGCUUGGCACAACUACACCUCACUGUUGUCCCUGCCACCAACUCUGGGCAUCACCAUUCUGAUGCCUUCGCAUGAAGGUACUGGAAUUCCUUUGGCAUAUUGACACUGUUGACUGAAUAAUAUGAGACAAUUCUAAUAAAUCUUUGCUGAACCAUUUAGGAAUAGGACUUAUUUUUCAAUUGUUGUCAGGGAAACAUUUCAAUUGUGUAGAUGUCCCUGUUCUAAAAUUCAAAUGUGAGUUCUAUUGGCAGGGGAGAAAUAUAAAAUUGGAUGAAAAUAGACUGAGACGUUUGAAGGAAGAGAGUGGUAUAGGAUAGGUGCCAUUGACAGAGAGGGCAACUCUUUGCGAGAGACCUGGAAAGACUACAAUAUAAAACUGGCAAUCGCCAACAUUGGAGAUGCUCUCGAUAGACUAACAGUCUCGAUGAGAAAUGGUGUUUGGAGGAAACUAUGUCCCGAAGCAGUGAACGAUUUUAAAGGCUUCGAAACAACAACAAUAAAUAUGGCAAUAGUGAGUUUGGCUAAGGAGGCUGGGUGUGUGGAAGUUGACGAAGAUGAUGUUGAAGAGGUUUUGGCAUCCCGUGACCAAGAACUGACAGAUGAAGAGUUGAUGCAAUUGCAAGAGGAAAGGAUAACUAUCAAAACCAAACGCAGUGGCGAACAGCCAGAAAGUGAAGUUGUCCAGGAACUGAACGUGAAGCACCUGCGUAAGAUUUUCGCUAUGAUUAACAGUGCUGCAACGAUUGCAGAAAAGUACAUCUUCAAUUUUGAAAGGGUACAUAGGUUUAGGGCAGGUUUGCGGGAUAUUUUGAGUGCUUACAAAGAACUGUAUCAUAGAAAAAUGCGCGAGGCUAAGCAAUCAAGCAUACUGUCAUUUUUCAAGCCUUCCACAUCAGCCACAGCAGAUGCCAAACCUCGACCUUCGACAUCGAGGCAGGCAGACAUAGAAGAAGAUAUAGACAUUAGUGACCUGCCUGCCCUGAUGGAUUCAGACAAUGAUGAGAUGUUAAUAGAUGACCCUCUUCCUCUCUAUCCUACACCCCAGACUCCUGUACCUCCCACCACUCCAACCUCGGACAACUCAGCCUAACACCAUCAUCACCACCUCUCAACCUUCCAGUGUGCUCAUUGUCUUCCCGAUUCUGUUGUUGGCCAAACGAGUCAAGCCCUCCAGAUAUGAGACUGACAACACACACGAUAUGCUGGAGGAACUCAGCAGGUCAGACAUCUUCUGCGGAAACAGUCAAUGUUUUGGGCCCAGACCCUUCAUCAGAACUGGAAAGGAAGGGGGACGACUCAAGAAUAAGAAGGUGAGGGAAGGGAAAGGGAUACAAACUGGUAGAUAAUAGGUGAGAGCAAGCAAGGGGAAGGUAUGAGAUAGAGUUGUUCUUUAGUGGUGAGUAGAUACUGUGAUGCAUAAACAGAAAGAGAGGUGGCAUUCACAUGUACUGUAUUGCUUAAUAAAACUGACAGAGUCAUAGAGCACCUCAGAACAGAAACAGGCCCUUUGGCCCACUUAGUCCGUGCCAAAAUAUUAUUCAGCCUAUCCCCAUUGACCCGCACAUGGACCUUAGCCAUCCAUAACCCUCUAAUCCACAUACCUAUCCAAAUUUAUCUUAAAUAUUGAAAUCAAACUUGCAUUCACCACUUCCGCAUAAGUUUCCCUGGCAGGUUGCUCUUAAAUAUUUCACCUUUUACCCUAAACUUAGACCUCUACUAGCCUCCUUCAACCUCAGUGGAAAAAACUUGCUGUCUGUACACCUCAUAAUUUUCUAUACAGUGCUUCUAUCAAAUCUCUAAUUCUCCUACGCUCCAUGGAAUAAAAUAUUGUUCUCUGUUUAAGAUUGGUUACCAAGUGCACAGCCAGGCAGUGGGUAAUGGACAAUUUAAGGAAAUAAUAGAUAAAAAGCAUGAGGGAUAAAGGAAUAAUUUGUUAGAAAAAAAUAGAAAGUUCUACGAAAAAAAUAAAGAAAAAUCAAAGAAUGAGAAAUCAAAGCUGAUGGGGUUUAGAGGGAACCAGUUGUCCUUUUAAUAUGAAUCACCAAAAGUUUACAGGUACAGUAGCUAAUUAAAAAGACGGAGUAUAGGAAAAGUUUUUGAGUACAGGAGUAGGGGUGAUUUGCUCCAAUUAUAUAUGCGACGGAUGAGACCAUAUCUACCUACCUGGUCACCAACCUAUAGGAAAAAUAUCAAUAAGAUUAAAAGGCUAUAGAGAAACUUUAUAAGGAACCUGAGUUAUAGGGAAAGGUUGAGUAGGCCAGGACUUUAUUCCCUGGAGAGUGGGAGAAUGAGGGAUAUUUGAUAGGGGUAUAUAAAAUUAUGAGGGGAAUAGAUAGGAUAAAGCAAGCAGGCUUUUUCCACUGGGAUUAGAUGAGACUAGAACUAGAGGUCAUGGGUUAAGGGUGAAAAGUGAAAUAUUUAAGAGAACCUGAGGAUGAUCUUUUUUAUUCAGACGGUACUGAGAGUGUGGAACAAACUGCCAAUGCAGAUCAAUUUUUCACAAGUUAGGGUGUCUAGAACCAGUGGUCACAAUCUUAAAAUAAGGAUCAUAGGGUUUUUCAUCCCCCACGCAGUGGCCUUUGAAAUGCUCCACACAGGAAUGCUGUAGGGGCUCAGUCAGUGAGUAUGUUCAAGACAGAGAGUUUUAAAGUUAUUAAACAUUAAGGAAAUGAAGGGAUGUGUAGGAAGGCAAUGCAAAUGUCAAGGAUUAGACAUGAUCUUACAGAGGAGUAGGGCAAACCCAAGGGGCUGGUUAACCUUCUCCUUGUAUUUCAUAUGUACUUUUGUACACAGAGCUGACAUAAUAUGUAAACCUAGGUACAAUAGAUACAUAGAUAGGAAUACAACAGAUAUAAAUUAUAUAUGAUGCAUUCCUAGAUAAAUAUUUAGAAAAAUAGAUGGAUUAAAAAGUAUAAAAAAAAUAGAAAGAUAGAUGGGUGGAAAGAUAUAGUCUGACAUGCAGUUGUCAAUCACAUUGCAGCUUUUUGUGUUGUUACGACUGUGCCCCAACUCUGAGGGACUGAAGGGUACAAAGUAGCCCCCUCCUUUUUGAGAAUCACAAGAUCGCUAUUAAUUCGGGUCUGGGACCCAGGAAAUGAAAGAGAGACACGCAGAAUCCUCAGGGUUUGGAAUGUGUCCUGGGCCUCCGAAAGACAAAGCCACAGAUAACGGCCAUUGUCUCUUGGAGACGGAAUUGUGUAUUGAGUACUGUACUAUUCAUCGAAGCCCUUGGGACAACCAGAGUGGGCUGGUUGAGGGAUUGCAUCAUCCCAACCUGAUUGACAUCUGACACCCCGUGAGUGAGGAUAAAAGAGGGUCUGGGAACAACCCCUUUAGACGAACCAGGCGAAAUGCUAGAAAUCCCGUGACAGCGUAUAAUAGCGACAGCCGGUGGGGCCCGCGUGCGUCCUUUCCCGUUGCCUGGGAUUGGCGGGACUGACCACAGAAGAACGGCUUAGCUAAAAGGAAAAGGACACCGAUGACAUUUCGAAGGAUCGACAUCAUAAAAAAGAAAACUCUGGCAAGUUGCAAAAUCUCUCUCUCUUGACUCCAACCAAAGGCUGCAGCCUGAAUGAACUUGAGUGACGUUUAUAUUUCCAUCGGACAAUACAUUAUCCCCUAGACAACGAUAGAGCUUAUUUCUUAUUGAUUAUUAUUACGCCCGCACUUUUAGAUUUAGUAUUGACGAUGUAUAUUAUCUGUAUGUUUACAUUAAUAUUAUUUUUGUGUAUUUUUAUCAAUAAAUACUGUUAAAAAUAGGACCAUCAGACUUCAACGGACCUCUCCAUCUUUGCUGGUGACAAAGCUCAUCUUUUUUACCUCUCUCUCCUUCUGGUGGAGGUUCUCCUACAAAGUAGGACCUCAGGAUUUGCAACUAAUAAUCAUGAAAGAGCAGCAAAAUAUUUCCAACUUGGAUGGAAACACCAGGUAUUCCUAGACACUGGUAGAGUUAAUGGCAUCCUGGGUCUGUACCCCUCAAUAAUUCUUCCCCUCUGCUGCCAGAUUUCUGAAUGAACAAUGAACAUUGUACACCAUCUUAUUAUUUUUCCCUCCCUUUUUCCAUUAUGUGUGUGUAUGUGUAUCAUUGUAAUUUAUAGUGUUUUCUUUAGUGCACUGUACUGCCGCCACAAAGCAGCAAGUUUCAUGACAUUUUGUCAGUGAUAGUAAACCUGAUUCUGGUCCCCUGAUCAAAAUUCCCAUCCCUCCCUUAGCAGCUUCAGCCAGAAUAAUCCUUGUCCUUUGUAAAUAGGAACUCUGUGAUAAAAAUGAUGAUGAUCAUGGCAAUAGUACUAGUAACAACGCGUGCUGUUACAGGGAAGCUUUUUGAAGAAGGAACACUACAAAUGGGUUGAGUUAUAUAAAAAGUAAACAGCACAGAUAAAGGUCAUUUUGUCCUUUGAGCCUAAAAUGAUGAAUGUGCUCCACAUGAGCCCUUCCCAAUAAUCUUUAUCUAACUCCAUCAGCAUAACAAUGUUUUAUACUUCCCAUUUAUCUAGUCUUUUAUUAAAUCUAGGUACACGUUCAACAAUGUUUUGAAGUUUUGAAAAUUACAUGUUUUGAAGUGUCCCCCGAAGAUAAAGGUUACAGAUCUUGUAGAAGGGUCACGACCAAAACGUCAACUGUUUAUUAACUUCAAUAGAUGCUGUCUGACCUGGGAAAGAGAGAAGCUACGGUAAGAGGAAGAGGGACAGAGUGAAAAAGAAAAACAGCCAAUUAUAUAUUGGAAAGUUGGAGCACUGAAUCCCUUGUGAAAGGCAGAACUAUAUAGGCACAACUAACAACAGAAUCCAGAGAGAAGAGGAGCUAAGGCAUUCCCAGAAGAAAGCAGGAAUGUGAAAGCCUUUUAUUACUAUAUUGCAAUGUUACAAGUGCAACAACACAGAGAAGCAGGCUGUAUAAAGAACAGAACACAGGAUGGGAUGCCAAACACCGUAGCUACCAUCUUGGAAACCAACUCACCAAAUAUGGCAGUGGCCAGCUAAUCUUUUGUUUUGCUGAUUGGCUUUGCAUAUGGUCAAGUUGGUAACAGUUAAAUGUAAUCUCAUGCUGUUGGUCAUACAUUCAUUGGCCAUUUUAUUAGAUACCUCAUGUGCCUAAUAAAGUGGCACUGAGUGUCCUUUCAUGGACUUCUGCUGCUGUAGCCCAUCUGCUUCAGAGUUUGACAUGUUGUGCAUUUGCAGAUGCUCUUCUGCAUACCGCUGUUGUAGCACAUGGUUAUUUCAAAACUUUCAUCUUCCUGUCAGCCUGAACCAGUCUGGCCAUUCUCCUCUGACCUCUUACAACAACAAGGUGUUUCGCCCACAAAACUGCUGCUCACCAGAUGUUUGUUUGUUUUUCACACUAUUCUCUGUAAACUUUAGAGACUGGUGUGUGUGACAAUCCUGGGAGAUCAGCAGCUUCUGAGAUACUCAAACCACCCUAUCUGGCACCAACAGUCAUUCCACGGUCAAAAAUCGCUGAGAUCACAUUUCUUUCCCAUUCUGAUAUUUGGUCUGAACAACAACUGAACCUCUUGAUCAUGUCUGCAUGCUUUAUGCUGCCUUGUGAAUAGCUGAUUAGAUGUUUGUAUUAACAAGCAGGUGUACCUAAUAAAGUGGCCAUUGUGUGUUCA